rnacentral:rRNA from 1 species
GACGUAGGGCGCGAGCGUUGUCCGGAUUUAUUGGGCGUAAAGAGCUCGUAGGCGGCUUGUCGCGUCGGCAUGUGAAAUCCCGUGGCUCAAACUGUGGGCGGGCAGCUGAUACGGGCAGGCUGGAGUUCGGUAGGGGAGACUGGAAUUCCUGGUGUAGCGGUGAAAUGCGCAGAUAUCAGGAGGAACACCGGUGGCGAAGGCGGGUCUCUGGGCCGAUACUGACGCUGAGGAGCGAAAGCGUGGGAGCGAACGG